rnacentral:snRNA from 1 species
AAAAUUUCUCGGCCUUUUGGCUAGGAUCAAGUGUACUAUCUGUUCUUAUCCGAUCUUACCUGCUCUUUUCAUCUAAUGCCUCAAUAUCU